UAGCGCUGUGGCACGGCCAGGACGAGCAAUCUGUGAUUGUAUGACUCAGUUCGGACGGGUGUGGGCUAGUAGAUCGAUCUGUGUCGGUGUCGCUAGUGAUUGACGAUGAACUACUGUGCGGAGGUUAAGUUCACGCGGGGUGUUCGCGCCCUCCGUCAAGGAAAGACACACUAAUGCGUAGCAUGGCAAUUACAAUGUGAAGAAAGGCUGAAAGGCAUGCAGCGAACCCGGCAAAGAUAGACGCAACUGAGAUUUGUCUCUGCAAGUCGUGAAUACGAAGCUGGAAUCAAUAGUAAUCAGCGGAUCAUCAGUGCCGCGUUGAAUAUGUACACGGGGUUUGUUCACCGGCCCGUCAACGGUAAGACAUAAGGGGCAAGUGUUAUCCGGAAUUAUUGGGCGUAAAGGGUGCGUAGGCGGUCUAGUAAGUCAGUGGUGUAAUGGCAACGCUCAACGUUGUCCGGCUAUUGAAACUGCUAAACUUGAGUUAGAUAGAGGCGAGUGGAAUUCCAUGUGUAGCGGUAAAAUGCGUAAAUAUAUGGAGGAACACCAGAGGCGUAGGCGGCUCGCUGGGUCUUAACUGACGCUGAGGCACGAAAGCGUGGGGAGCAAACAGGAUUAGAUACCCUGGUAGUCCACGCCGUAACGAUGAGUACUAAGUGUCGGGUUAACCGGUACUGAAGUUACACAUUAAGUACUCCGCCUGAGUAUACGUACGAAGUAUGAACUUAAGGAAUUACGGACUCCGCCAAGCGGUGGACAUGUUGUUUAUUCGAGAUCCCGAAAACCUUACAGGUCUUGCAUGUUUUGCGAACGGUAGUAUAUCGUGGAGGUAUCAAAACACAGGUGGUCAUGGUGUCGCCGCUCGUGUCUGAGAUUUAGGUAAGUCCUAAACGACCGAACCCUAUCGUAGUGCCACACUUAUGGUGGGACUUUACGAGCUGCAGUGAUAAUUGAAGAAGUGAGAUCCGUCAAUCACAUGCCCUUUGACUGGCUACAACGGAUAAAUGCUGUACAAGGUACUGAACCAGUUUUGGCAUCCCAAAAAGUCCAUCCGAUGAAUUGAAUCACUCUGAGUGGAUCCUGUAUCCGAUCACUUCCGGGAUCUUCCGGUGACCCCCCCCCCCAAAAACCCCGGUUUUUUU
rnacentral:misc_RNA from 1 species